rnacentral:rRNA from 1 species
UUUUCGGAGAGUUUGAUCCUGGCUCAGGACGAACGCUGGCGGCGUGCCUAAUACAUGCAAGUCGAGCGGACAGAAGGGAGCUUGCUCCCGGAUGUUAGCGGCGGACGGGUGAGUAACACGUGGGUAACCUGCCUGUAAGACUGGGAUAACUCCGGGAAACCGGAGCUAAUACCGGAUAGUUCCUUGAACCGCAUGGUUCAAGGAUGAAAGACGGUUUCGGCUGUCACUUACAGAUGGACCCGCGGCGCAUUAGCUAGUUGGUGAGGUAAUGGCUCACCAAGGCGACGAUGCGUAGCCGACCUGAGAGGGUGAUCGGCCACACUGGGACUGAGACACGGCCCAGACUCCUACG